rnacentral:rRNA from 1 species
AAGUCGUAACAAGGUCUCCGUUGGUGAACCAGCGGAGGGAUCAUUACAGAGUUAAACAAACUCCAAACCCUUUGUGAACCUUACCAUAAGUUGCCUCGGCGUGCGCUGCGGCUACCCGGUUUCCGGCCCCGCAGACGGGUGGUUACCCUGUAGCCGGUCAACAGCCCGCCGAAGGACCCCUAAACUCUGUUUAAAAUGGUGUAUUCUGAAUUGCUUAAACUAAAAUAAGUUAAAACUUCCAACAACGGAUCUCUUGGUUCUGGCAUCGAUGAAGAACGCAGCGAAAUGCGAUAAGUAAUGUGAAUUGCAGAAUUCAGUGAAUCAUCGAAUCUUUGAACGCACAUUGCGCCCAUUAGUACUCUAGUGGGCAUGCCUAUUCGAGCGUCAUUUCGACCAUUAAGCCCUGUAGCUUAGCGUUGGGAGCCUACGCCCUUGCGGCGUAGCUCCUCAAAGUCAGUGGCGGAGUUGGAGCACACUCUAAGCGUAGUAAACUUAUCUCGCUUCUGUAGUUGCCCCGGCUGCCUGCCGUAAAACCCCCUAUAUUUCUAGUGGUUGACCUCGGAUUAGGUAGGAAUACCCGCUGAACUUAA